rnacentral:lncRNA from 1 species
UGUCCAUCCCAAAUAAGAUAAGAUUUGGCGUAAUCAUCUUUUCUGAUCUCGCAGGAGCUUUUAAGGGCUGAGUUAUCUCACCCAAUUUAGCAUGUCCAACGAUUCAGCAAUCUCAGGAUCAUGCAAUCUCACAGCUAACAACCCAGCUAUCCGAUAUUUUUCUAUAUAAACAAUCAGAGCUCCGAGGACCAAAGUAAGUUCAAUCGAACUCCUCUCAGAGAACCUGUUGCUACUUCUUUAUUCUCUAUUUUUUUGACUUGAGCAUCGGAGAGUCCUCGUCAGAGCCACAACCUCCGGUUUAAGAUUUGUUUUGCAGGUCGCUCCAGCACCAGCAUCUCCGCUCGAGAUUUUCAGGUAUCCAUCCUCCGAUCCCCACCGAUUUAAGCAGCAACACUUGAUAUAUAGGUUAGGAGUUUUCAAAUCAUGUAAUUUUUUGUAUACGAGUAGUUUUGAGAUAGUAGAUCACAUCAACCGACUUGCAUCAUCAAUAUAGGAUCUUCAUUAUCUAAUUUUAAUUUGAUCGGACUUGAAUUCAAAUCUAAUCGAUUUUAUCUAAAUCUAUUUAGUCUAAACAAACCUCCAUGACCACAAAUGUUUUUACCAACAAGUUGCAAACUUGUAAUAGUUGAAAAGAAAAACACCA